UCAUCAUCUGAACUAGAGUCAGUUGACGUAGAAUCAUCGUCACUGGAUUCUUCUUUUUUAGAGGCAGCACCAGGCGCCUUCGUAGCAACAACCUUAGAGGCAACUACCUUAGAGGGAGGUUUCUGUCAAAAAGACAAUCAAUCAUCAAGUCAGGUGUCAAAGGACCAUAUUUGCAUAUAUCACGCAACAUAAAGCAAAUGGUGGUGUUACAUCAUCAUCUGAACUAGAGUCAGUUGACGAAGAAUCAUCAUCGCUGGAUUCUUCUUUUUUAGAGGCAGCAACAGGCGCCUUCUUAACAACAGGCGCCUUCUUAACAACAGGCGCCUUCUGAACAACAGCAUCAUCCUCAGAGCUGCUAUCAUCCUCAUCACUUGACUCAUCUUUCUUAGAGCCAUUAGUUGGAGGUUUCUUGGGUGCAGGUUCAUCUUCCUCAGAGCUGCUAUCAUCCGACUCAUCACUUGACUCAUCUUUCUUCUUAGCAGCAACACCAUUCUUGGUUGAAACCACAACAACCUUCUUAGAAGGAGCCU
rnacentral:lncRNA from 1 species